rnacentral:rRNA from 1 species
CCUACGGGAGGCUGCAGUGGGGAAUAUUGCACAAUGGGGGGAACCCUGAUGCAGCAACGCCGCGUGGGUGAAGAAGUACUUCGGUAUGUAAAGCCCUGUCAGAAGGGAAGAAAAUGACGGUACCUGACCAAGAAGCACCGGCUUACUACGUGCCAGCAGCCGCGGGAAUACGUAGGGGGCAAGCGGUAUCCGGAUUUACUGGGUGUAAGGGGGGCGUAGACGGCAAGGCAAGUCUGGAGUGAAAGCCCGUUGGUCAAACACGGGAAUGCUUUGGAAACUGUGUUGCUGGAGUGCAGGAGGGGUAAGUGGAAUUCCUAGUGUAGCGGUGAAAUGCGUAGAUAUAAGGAGGAACACCGGUGGCGAAGGCGGCUCACUGGCCUGUAACUGACGUUGAGGCUCGAAGGCGUGGGGAGCAAACAGGAUUAGAUACCCGAGUAGUC